rnacentral:rRNA from 1 species
GGUUGCGAUCAUACCAGCACUAAUGAACCGGAUCCCAUCAGAACUCCGCAGUUAAGCGUGCUUGGGCGAGAGUAGUACUAGGAUGGGUGACCCCCUGGGAAGUCCUCGUGUUGCAACCCC